rnacentral:lncRNA from 1 species
UCUUAAACACAGCCUGACAUGUGAAAAUGCUAUGUUGCCUAAAGGUGGUUUUUAUUUGUUUAAAAAACUGAAAAAAAUUACAUAUGUACACUUUUCUCUCUUGAAUGCUUGAUAUUUGGUUUCUGCAGGCAGUCAAGACCAUGUUUACCAAAUAUACUUCAUUAUAGUUAUACAGACCAGUAUUCAGCAUGCUGAGGCAUGCAUUUUAUUUAAGAGGAGGAAGAUUAAGGGGUGACAGUUAUGAUAUAAAAAUUAGAUUAGUACAAAAGGCUUAGCUGUUGAGAAGGAAGCAUGGGAACUCAAUGCACCAAUAGUAAUAAAUAACAAGUGCUGUUUGAAGGCUUCAAAAUCAGGUCCUGCAUGGCCACACUUGGGUUUUUUAUGCUAUACUCAAGGUUUCAACUGCUGGCCAUGCUAAUUAGCACAUACUAUAUUGAGCCAACAUGGGCACCUGGCAUGCGUUAGCAUUGUUACUAGUGCACUUCAAGAUCUAGAUAUUUGUCAUGGACGCUUGGACACUUGGAUACUUCAUGACACUCCUUGAGACUUCAAAUCAGCAAAUUAUAACAUAAUCACAAUGACGUAUCAACUUUUUUCACCUGCAC